AGUGAACGCUGGCGGUAGGCCUAACACAUGCAAGUCGAACGGCAGCACAGUAAGAGCUUGCUCUUACGGGUGGCGAGUGGCGGACGGGUGAGGAAUACAUCGGAAUCUACUUUUUCGUGGGGGAUAACGUAGGGAAACUUACGCUAAUACCGCAUACGACCUACGGGUGAAAGCAGGGAUCUUCGGACCUUGCGCGAUUGAAUGAGCCGAUGUCGGAUUAGCUAGUUGGCGGGGUAAAGGCCCACCAAGGCGACGAUCCGUAGCUAGUCUGAGAGGAUGAUCAGCCACACUGGAACUGAGACACGGUCCAGACUCCUACGGGAGGCAGCAGUGGGGAAUAUUGGACAAUGGGCGCAAGCCUGAUCCAGCCAUACCGCGUGGGUGAAGAAGGCCUUCGGGUUGUAAAGCCCUUUUGUUGGGAAAGAAAAGCAGCAGGUUAAUACCCCGCUGUUCUGACGGUACCAAAAGAAUAAGCACCGGCUAACCUCGUG
rnacentral:rRNA from 1 species